CAGGAAACAGAGACCCAAAGUGUCCUGACUUUACAUCUUAAGAUGUGAAGAGUCUUUAUGAUCAGCCCCACAAUGGGUGGUGGUCAGAAGAAGUCAGCCGUGCAUGACAGAAAUCCCUGUGCUUGGAGCAGCUGCAAGAGGCACAGGACUUCACCUUUAGAUAGCAUCCUUUUCCACCUGCUUUCCAGAGUGCCCUCCACACACUUCUCCCAACUGCAUGAGGUGAUAUCUGCCUUGGUGCCCUCUGGCCUCAGGUGAUUGUGAUUUUGAAAACCUGCCAAGCGCAGAGAAUGAGUUCAAAGAAUUUUCCAGCCUGAAGUGCAAACGCUAUGACAUUUCUCAUCUUCAAACAAAAUUUUAAUAAACCUAUUGUGUGGUAAAGUUGGAUAUCCUUUAUUUUUCUUUCAGUUUGAGAGAGAUGGAGUAGCACACAAAUUGUUUUGACCAAUUCAGUAAAGCAUAAACCCCUCGAAAAUUUACAAAAUUUAUUACAGGAGCUGUAUACUCAUCUUUGGUUCUUUAACCUUGUGCCUUUCUCUUUGCAUAUGUCUGGAGAGUGCCUGGGCAGAAAUUUGCCUCCUGGAUGGCUGAGUCAUUUAAUUGCAGAAGACUAUACAUAAUUUGGUUGUACUUUAUCUCAUUUUAGAUGUUUUCGUCUUUUGCCAUGGGUCAGGCAUGAAAUACAAAGUGCAAGAAAUAGGAAAUAAUAUAACCUUUAGCUUCAGUGGUAACAGAAAAAAACACAUAUAGAAAUUAUUUGGAGCUUAUUAUUGUAGUGGGGUCGCAGAGUGUGAGAACAUUUAUUGUAGAAUAUAAACUAGGAUUUCUCAUUUAGGCACAGGAUACGUUUUCCUCUUUGUUCAGGUAACUUGAAGUAAUUACCAGUAUUUUUUCUAUGUGAUUCCAAUCAGUUCUGAAAGAAACACACAACAAAUAUUUAUCUCCACUGACUUCUUAGAAUUAUAAAAAAUCUUGUCUUUAUUUGUGGACACCUGGAGACUAAUGCUGGGCAUCCCCACUUCUGACUCUACAGUUUGAGAUAUCUUUUAUUCUGUCUUAUUCCUGGAUAUACAGCAGUUUGGAUAAAUCAGAUGGUGAUUUAUCCAAUGGUGUUGUAUUGAUCAAGUAUAAGGACCACUUAUCUACAUUAAAUUCUCAUGUCAUUACUAAAACUAAACUUAUAAAUGCAAGUCAUGACCCAGAAUAAGAAGAAUUAGUGUCAUCAAGAGAAAAAGAGACCAUUCCACUCCAUAAAUUUUCACAACUGAAUUUCCUUGGCAGGAUUUUUUGGCAGAA